UCUCCGUUGGUGAACCAGCGGAGGGAUCAUUACCGCGUGCAAACUCAUAACCCUUUGUGAACCUAUAUCUGUUGCUUCGGCGGCUCGCUCUCGGGCGAGCCCGCCGGUAAUAUCAGUAUCUCUGUUUGAACCCGACGAUACUUCUGAGUGUUCUUAGCGAACAGUUAAAACUUUUAACAACGGAUCUCUUGGCUCUA
rnacentral:misc_RNA from 1 species